rnacentral:rRNA from 1 species
UUAGAAUUGACGGGGGCCCGCACAAGCGUGGAGCAUGUGGUUUAAUUCGAAGCAACGCGGAGUACCUUACCAGGUCUUGACAUCCCGAUGCUAUUUCUAGAGAUAGAAAGUUACUUCGGUACAUCGGUGACAGGUGGUGCAUGGUUGUCGUCAGCUCGUGUCGUGAGAUGUUGGGUUAAGUCCCGCAAACGAGCGCAACCCCCUAUUGUUAGUUGCCAUCAUUCAGUUGGGCACUCUAGCGAGACUGCCGGUAAUAAACCGGAGGAAGGUGGGGAUGACGUCAAAUCAUCAUGCCCCUUAUGACCUGGGCUACACACGUGCUACAAUGGUUGGUACAACGAGUUGCGAGUCGGUGACGGCGAGCUAAUCUCUUAAAGCCAAUCUCAGUUCGGAUUGUAGGCUGCAACUCGCCUACAUGAAGUCGGAAUCGCUAGUAAUCGCGGAUCAGCACGCCGCGGUGAAUACGUUCCCGGGCCUU